rnacentral:rRNA from 1 species
AUUGAACGCUGGCGGCAGGCUUAACACAUGCAAGUCGAGCGGUAACAGAUCUAGCUUGCUAGAUGCUGACGAGCGGCGGACGGGUGAGUAAUGCAUAGGAAUCUGCCCAGUAGUGGGGGAUAGCCCGGGGAAACCCGGAUUAAUACCGCAUACGCCCUACGGGGGAAAGCAGGGGAUCUUCGGACCUUGCGCUAUUGGAUGAGCCUAUGUCGGAUUAGCUAGUUGGUAGGGUAAGAGCCUACCAAGGCAACGAUCCGUAGCUGGUUUGAGAGGAUGAUCAGCCACAUCGGGACUGAGACACGGCCCGAACUCCUACGGGAGGCAGCAGUGGGGAAUAUUGGACAAUGGGGGCAACCCUGAUCCAGCCAUGCCGCGUGUGUGAAGAAGGCUUUCGGGUUGUAAAGCACUUUCAGUGAGGAGGAAAACCUUACGACUAAUACUCGUGAGGCUUGACGUUACUCACAGAAGAAGCACCGGCUAACUCCGUG